CCGCGCACCGAGCCAACAUGGUGGCGGCAGCGGCAGCGCGGGGUGGAGGGGAGGCGAGGGGCAGCUCCCGAUCGGGGCCUUUCGGGGAGGGUUGCGCAGAGCCCGGCUGCCGCCUUCUUGCUUGACGCCGGUCAGGUGUGUGGCUUCAGCUCUGAGCUCUUCCGCCUGCCGUGGGAAAGGUGUGGAGAAAUUACUCUUCAACCACGCAGCCGGGGAUGUCCAGGCUUGGUGUGUUAUGGAUUUGAGUCAGACAGGACAAGGAAGGAGGAGCUGCACUCAUCUGCUGUAGCAUGUGUGGAAUACAGUGUGAGAUGCUGCUGCUGUGGUUUGCUGCUACCAGGUGCUGGGUACCAUUUCAUGACCAGUGCUUCAGGCAGGCUCAGCCUCUGUGAACUCCUCAGCUGUGCUGCGUUUCUGGUUUUCCAGGAAAAAUGCUGCUGUUAAGGGUGAACAGAGCGUCAGGACUGAGCCAGCCCAGGUAACAAAAGCUGGAGAAGAGGCACUUGUGGAAAACUCGCUGUUAAAAUAUGAACAACAGCAACAACAAAAAACACACCACAGUAAGAGGUGGAAGAAGCCUGGAUUUACUGAAAGCAGCCUUGCCACUAGAUAAUGCUUUUUAAUAUUACUAGUAAGAGUUCUUCGACUUCUUCAACUUCUUGUGCUGAGGUUGUUCUUGGCAUUCAUCUGCUUCACUGCUGGGACACUUGCACUGUGAAAUCUGCUGUUCUCUCAUGUUAAAAGAAAGUAACUUUGCCAGCGAAUCUACAGAGAAGCACCUCGACCUCCAGACUGGGAGCAGUCAUUUGAGAUUUAGCAAGUCUCAUGCUGAUGUCAAGGAUAUGCCUUUUGCGGUAUCUCUUAAUAAUACACCCACAUCUGACCUGGUGGUGAGUAAGUCUCUGCACAGCCUCACUUUGCAUGUAGGGGCUUAGCUCAUCUAAGCUGAGUUCUCCCCAAACUAUCUGCAUAUCCUCCCACAAGCCCUGCUUGCCAAGCAGCCUGGAGAUGCUCUGCUCCAAGGCUUCAAAGGCGAAGCCAGCAUUUCUUUGCAAUUAGG
ensembl:lncRNA